UGGCUGCCUUGAUAAGAGUUCAGUUUUCUCUGUGUCUUGAGAAAAUUUUUAUGAUUAAUGGAAGACAGAAUAUUAUCCAGUAUUAACAGUUAUUUUCCAAUUCUGUAUUAUAAAAUUAUUUCUGAUAAUGAAAAAUUCUCUAUUUCUUUAAAUUAUUUAAAACAUUGAAAGUCUACAGUGUAUAAAAGAAAGCACUGGAGUUCUGGAGAUGUGAGGCAGAAUACGAAGGUAAACAGGAAUCGUUAUUCCUUUUCUGAGAGGUAUGUAAUCUACAGGGGAAGCAGGCAGCACCUGAAAGGGGAGGAGAGGUUGGUGGGCCAUGCAGGGUUGAAGGAGGAGCAUAGGAACAUGGGUCUGGGAAAGUUUGGCUAUCUUUACAGUGCUCAAUUGAAAUACUACUUUGGAAUAUUUUCUCAACACCAGGGUUCUAGUUUGUUAGUCCUACUGAGACAUCAGGUCAGAAGAAAAGAACAAAAGUGAGAAGGCAUUCAUGGCUUUGCAUUCUCAGAAAGACAUCCUGCUGGUUCAACUGUAGUUUUAACGUGAGCUCUCCUCGGGCCUGGGAGAAAUUCUGAGAAUGACCCCUGAGAAUGAGCUCAGUGGUGAGAAGUCCAAGGACAGGAUGAGGUCGACAUUGCAAGUGUUUUUGGAAUAAGAAUCAACACACUUAAAGACUGGGAUUUGGAAGUGAGAAGGAGUACAUGGAAGUGAUUCAGGAAAACAAGGAAAUGAGACACAAGUGGCAACAUUUGUCAAAGUUCUAUGCAUUUGUUCCUUUGGAUUCAAGUGAAACAUCUGGAGUCAAUUCUUAACCCAAUGUUGGUUUGUUGUCACCAACCUCUUUGCCCUGCUAUUGACACCUUGUUCUAUUUGCCAUCUUCAGAAUUUUCUCUGGUCAGGUCUGCUAGCUGCCACUCCAACCAAAUUAUAGACUGAAUGUUUGAAUGUGUUCUCCAAAAUCCAUUUGAGGAAACUCCAACUACCAAUGUCCCAAUGUGCUUGGAAAUGGGGUUUGGGAGGGAUUAGAUAAUGAGUGUGGGGCCUUCAUGAAUCUAAUUAGUGCCUGUAUAACAAAAAAUCAUGAGAUUCCCUCUCUCUCUCUCUCUCCCUCCCUCUCUCUCUGUCUCUCUCUCUUCAACAUGCUAGGACACAGUAAGAACCUUGUCAUCUGUAAAGCUGUAAGAGGACCCUUACCAAGAAAAUAACAAUGCUGGCACAGUUCUUUUGGAAUUUCAGCCUCCAGAACUGGGAGAAAUAAAUGUUUGUUUUGUAAGCCACACAGUCUAUGGUAAUUUGUUAUAGCAGCCUGAGCUAAGACAAACCACGAUGCUCAUUACUCUCAUUGUAUGUACUUGAAUUCUGAUGUUUAAAUGCCAA